UACGUAGGGGGCAAGCGUUGUCCGGAAUCACUGGGCGUAAAGCGCACGUAGGCGGCUUUUUAAGUCAGGGGUGAAAUCCUGGAGCUCAACUCCAGAACUGCCUUUGAUACUGAGAAGCUUGAGUCCGGGAGAGGUGAGUGGAACUGCGAGUGUAGAGGUGAAAUUCGUAGAUAUUCGCAAGAACACCAGUGGCGAAGGCGGCUCACUGGCCCGAUACUGACGCUGAGGCACGAAAGCGUGGGGAGCAAACAGG
rnacentral:rRNA from 1 species